AUUGAACGCUGGCGGCAGGCCUAACACAUGCAAGUCGAACGGUAACAGGAAGAAGCUUGCUUCUUUGCUGACGAGUGGCGGACGGGUGAGUAAUGUCUGGGAAACUCCCUGAUGGAGGGGGAUAACUACUGGAAACGGUAGCUAAUACCGCAUAACGUCGCAAGCCCAAAGAGGGGGACCUUCGGGCCUCUUGCCAUCGGAUGUGCCCAGAUGGGAUUCGCUAGUAGGUGGGGUAACGGCUCACCUAGGCGACGAUCCCUAGCUGGUCUGAGAGGAUGACCAGCCACACUGGAACUGAGACACGGUCCAGACUCCUAAGGGAGGCAGCAGUGGGGAAUAUUGCACAAUGGGCGCAAGCCUGAUGCAGCCAUGCCGCGUGUAUGAAGAAGGCCUUCGGGUUGUAAAGUACUUUCAGCGGGGAGGAAGGGAGUAAAGUUAAUACCUUUGCUGAUUGACGGUACCCGCAGAAGAAGCACCGGCUAACUCCGUG
rnacentral:rRNA from 1 species